AGCUGUGGCAGCAAGGGGCGCUGUCGUUGGGAGAGGCUGGCUGCUACGCCGGGCCUCGUCCGCCUCGGCACGCCUCUCUCUGAAGAAGACACGCACCUGCACGACGUGGUGCUCAGUGCGGCUCUACUUUGGUCUUAACUCCUGUGACUCAAAGUUACCGCAGCUUGACUCUCGAGCCACUCAGAUUUUUCCUAAGCUCAACUGUAGGCCAGCUAGGUUCCUGGUGCUUUGGGGAGUAGGAACCGUGCGGAAUGGUUUGGAGACCGUCAAGAGCCCUAGCACUUGGCCAUCCUGCCCCCAAGUUCUUGUCCCAGUUCUGUGCCAAGUGCAUGAUGCUUUUUGAUACUGUCCUUCUUUCCUGUAUCUCAAGCAGAGUAGGGUUUCAGAACAAAAAUUUUUGAAGCUUUCGGAAUUCAUGCAGCUUGAUGCGUAUUGGAAGGGGCUGCUUGUGGGAAAACGCUUGUUUUUGCAUUUUCUAAAGAAGUUAAUGAAAAUGUGUAAGGAGAAGAGAGAUUUCCAACAGAUGUUGAAUAUGCAGCCAGUUAUUCCCUUCUUCCUUCAAAUAUCCCCUAGACUGAUUUCUGGAUAGGUAUUGUAGAAAGAAAAACUUUAGACAAAACAGAUUUUGAAUCAGACAGCAGCCAAAACCAGAAGCGGCUCAGGCACUACUGCUCUAGCUGCCUAGGCAUCAAGCUUUAUAGGCUGAACACGAAAGUAAAGAAAUUUGGUUGGCUACA